AUGGCUCAGGACGAACGCUGGCGGCGUGCUUAACACAUGCAAGUCGAGCGAUGAAGCUCCUUCGGGAGUGGAUUAGCGGCGACGGGUGAGUAACACGUGGGUAACCUGCCUCAUAGAGGGGAAUAGCCUUUCGAAAGGAAGAUUAAUACCGCAUAAGAUUGUAGUACCGCAUGGUACAGCAAUUAAAGGAGUAAUCCGCUAUGAGAUGGACCCGCGUCGCAUUAGCUAGUUGGUGAGGUAACGGCUCACCAAGGCGACGAUGCGUAGCCGACCUGAGAGGGUGAUCGGCCACAUUGGGACUGAGACACGGCCCAGACUCCUACGGGAGGCAGCAGUGGGGAAUAUUGCACAAUGGGGGAAACCCUGAUUGCAGCAACGCCGCGUGAGUGAUGACGGCCUUCGGGUUGUAAAACUCUGUCUUUGGGGACGAUAAUGACGGUACCCAAGGAGGAAGCCACGGCUAACUACGUGCCAGCAGCGGC
rnacentral:rRNA from 1 species